rnacentral:lncRNA from 1 species
CAGAGUGACAGCAGUUGGUCAAAGGUGCAGAGAAGAUUUUUAAUUUUAUUUUGGUUUGGCAGCUGUUUGUCCUCUCGCCUAUCUUAGGAUAGCAGAGUCACAGCAGUUGGUCAAAGGUGCGGAAAAGAUUUUUAAUUUUAUUUUGGUUUUGGCAGCUGUCUGUCCCUUUGCAUAUCUUAGGAUGGCAGAGUGACAGCAGUUGGUCGAAGGUGCAGAGGAGAUUUUUAUUUUAUUUUAUUUUUUUCUCUUGCAGUUUUGUUUUGUUUUUAUUGCUGACCUAGCCUAGGCUAGAUUGCCAGCAGAAUAUGGGGGAACAAGAUCAGUCGGCAACUGUGGACAGAAUCUUGGAAGUGGCUUCGGGAUUUUUCGAGCAAGCCAAGCAGAAAAUUCGGGAAAGAGAUUCGCUUAUAGAACAACUGUACCAGGAAAACUUACUUCUAAAGGUUUUUUAAGCACAGAACCUGGCUUGAUGCAAAGGUUUUUCCAAGCUCAGCAGGGUUCAUUUGGGGAUUACUGCAACGAGACGCUCCAGACAAUUGGGAGCGGUCCUGAGAUGCAAGUUGCUUGUGUGGAAAGAGUUAACGAGGCCCAGUGGAAUUCUAAUGAGCAUUCCAGAGGAGACAGCGAUUUAUCACCCGUCCAAACAAAGGAUUCACAGGCCCUGGAGUCGCGCGCAGAGAAAGGAAUGCAGGAGAAAGAAACAUCGCUUCACCGAGCUGUUUCCGUGGAGGAACUAGCAUCGCACGACACAAGGGAAAACUGCAGUACUCCAGAGAACUUCAGUGCAUUCGAAUGCAGCUCAGCACCACCCUCAGCUCUUUUUCAGAGCCCAGGACAGGUGAGAAGCUCUGAAAUAAUUCGGGAUGAGACUAUGGGUUUGCCAGAAGAGGGAGAGCAAGGGAUUUUCCAAAACAUUCAAGCAAUUGCUGUGACUGAGAGCCCUCACAUCAGCUUAGAUGUAAUAGAGACUCAGCUCAAUUCUUUGCCAGGACUUGUGUUAGCAGAUCUUGAUGCAUGUCAGAUCUCAAACAACCCCCUUCUCUUAGCCCCGAGAGAACAGUGAAAUCAGACACUCUUAGGUUGACAGGGACCCCGUGUACUUCAUGGCAGUUUGGGAGUAAUGAGAUUUACCAGGGGGGUGGCCUACUCAGCGCACAGGAGCAGUCUGCUGAGAAGGCUGGAGGAGUGAAGGUUUUCUCAGAGUCAUUGCCAAGUGCCAUAG